rnacentral:ncRNA from 2 species
GCUCUGCAUUUCGAGAUGGGCAGCAAUGCCCGCGCCAACCUGCCAGACCGGCAAGGUGGUGGUCCCUGACAGGACGAUGCGGCCAGCAGGCAACCGGUCAACUGCCC